rnacentral:rRNA from 1 species
AUUCCCCAAAGCGAGACGGGUAGCCGGCCUGAGAGGGCGACCGGCCACACUGGGACUGAGACACGGCCCAGACUCCUACGGGAGGCAGCAGUGGGGAAUAUUGCACAAUGGGCGAAAGCCUGAUGCAGCGACGCCGCGUGAGGGAUGACGGCCUUCGGGUUGUAAACCUCUUUCAGCAGGGAAGAAGCGAAAGUGACGGUACCUGCAGAAGAAGCGCCGGCUAACUACGUGCCAGCAGCCGCGGCCGA